rnacentral:rRNA from 1 species
AUUGAACGCUGGCGGCAGGCCUAACACAUGCAAGUCGAACGGUAACAGGAAGCAGCUUGCUGCUUUGCUGACGAGUGGCGGACGGGUGAGUAAUGUCUGGGAAACUGCCCGAUGGAGGGGGAUAACUACUGGAAACGGUAGCUAAUACCGCAUAACGUCGCAAGACCAAAGAGGGGGACCUUAGGGCCUCUUGCCAUCGUAUGUGCCCAGAUGGGAUUAGCUAGUAGGUGGGGUAACGGCUCACCUAGGCGACGAUCCCUAGCUGGUCUGAGAGGAUGACCAGCCACACUGGAACUGAGACACGGUCCAGACUCCUACGGGAGGCAGCAGUGGGGAAUAUUGCACAAUGGGCGCAAGCCUGAUGCAGCCAUGCCGCGUGUAUGAAGAAGGCCUUCGGGUUGUAAAGUACUUUCAGCGGGGAGGAAGGGAGUAAAGUUAAUACCUUUGCUCAUUGACGUUACCCGCAGAAGAAGCACCGGCUAACUCCGUG